UGAGUUAUCCAUAAGGGUUUAAGAGGU
rnacentral:piRNA from 1 species